GUUACAGCUCCUGCUCGGCGCGCACACGCUCACACGCGAACGCAGGAAAGUCAGGCUAAAAGUGUCUGCUGCUGCCGCUGCCGCCCCCCACUCCGCCUCCGGGAGAGACCUGAACACAGGACUGCUGGGCCUGUGACAUCCAUGACGCGUAACAGUCAAGCUUGCAUUUAGUGGGUGCUCACUACCUGCCAGACUGUGUCCUCUCUACAAUUCUAUGAGUUUUCAGAAGCAGAGUCCAAGAUGGAGAUUCAGGUGCCAUGAUUUACUGAGGGGAUGCUCUGCAGGAAGAAGCUGUAAGGGAAGAGGUGAUGCAGGCUAGUGAAGGGAGAAGAAUGGAGCAAGGAUGUAUUUUAAAGUAAAUUUUAGUCUUGGCUACGUGUGGGGUAAAUUCUAGCCUUGGCUGGAUGUAGAUUGGCUAUAGGAGUGAAAGGAGGGACUAUGCAGGCAGAAACCACACUAUAAACCACACCACACUUUGUCACCCAAGGAUGUCAGUCAGUCAUUGGUGUGGGCUGUAUGUGUGUGUGUGGCGUGUGUGUGAAGUAGCCUCUGUCUACAUUGGCCCAGUAAGGGGAGAUCUGGACAGGACAUAGACACAGCCUAGUAUGUACAUUUGAAUUUUACUUUCAUCAACUUUUAAGGCCUUCAGGAAUACCUUUUCUGUAUGCCUUGCUGGGGAGGAGGAGGAAUGCAGAUAGAAAGUGUGGCCUAAAAAUUAUACUGGUGUUUCAUCCAGAUUGGCAGAUAGCUGUGGAUUUAGGUGAAAUAGGUAAAAGUCUUCAUUUAGAAAUCCAGUUUCAUUAUUCCCUGAGACUCUGAAUUUUCUAGUUACCAUUUUAAGACCUCCCACUUUAUGUUCUUAGUUUCUUUCCCUUGUUGCUUGGAGUGACUCAAAUGCCAACCAGACCCUCUGUUCUGCUGUCAGCGGGCUACAAGACUUUGCAAAUUGGCUUGAAAGAAAUGGAUCAAACACCUCAGCACAGUUUCCCCAGGCCAUGUGAUGAGAACAGGAGAGCCCUGGAGACAGCGCUUUAGGCCUGUUGGAGUUUGAAAAUGUUGUUUAUUCAAACUGCUAAAUGUUUACUUUCAUCAGUAUAUACUCCCUCCUCAAUUCUUGAUCUUUCUUCUGCUCCAAAGCAUUUGAGUCCAAGAUGGCUGGGAGCAUGGAUGUCUGAGUCACUCUUCCUUCUAGGGCAAAUACUGCACACAGCACAGAACUGAGAAUCAUUUAUUCCCUAAUAAAGAUUCAUUGUGAGCCCAUGAGAGCCAGGUGCUCCUCAAGGUGCUGGGCAUGUGGUAAUAAACCAAACUGGCAAAGUCCCCGUCCCCAUGGCAUUCACAUGCUAGUGGAUGGAAAACCCUUAAGCAAAUAUAAUAAUAUAUCAGCAGGAGAGGUACAGUAUGGAUAAAAAUAAAACAGGAUGAAGAGUUAAGGAAUAUUGGGUGGUUGCUAUUUUAUUCAGACUUGUGAGGAAGAAGGGGCUAUCUGAUACAGGAACAGUUGAGCAGUGACCAACAGAGCCAUGGGGUUGGUGGGGAGAAGAGAGUUCCAAGUAUCAGGCACAGCACUCAAAAGUGUGGAGAGGCAUCCUACUGAGAGAACAAUGUGUAGAGAGCAUCCUGCUCAGGGAAUAACAGGGCUUCCAGGAUGGGAUGGGGGCUGGGGCUAUGCCCAGGAGCUCACCUAGCCACAAAGUCUUUUCCUUGCUAAUGUUAUAUUGAUUUUUAUUUUUAUGUCAUCAAUGCCGUUUUUACAAUAAAGACUUUGAAGCAUACAACUGACUUUAUUCAAAGUUUGGUUCCUACAGGAAUUGUAAUUCUACUGAAAUGUAGGUAUAGAUAGAAUUGGAAAUACACACACAUAUGUAUAUGUAAAUUGCCUUCCUUUUUUUGUAGAAAAACCAGGCCCUGGAAUAGCCUCUGAUAAGAAAAAGCCAUGGAAAUUUUACUUUGGUAAAAAGGCCAAUAAUAGAAUCAAAAGCUGGCCUCAUGUUGUUUCUGAGAAAGCCGGCCUUACUCAAGGAAGGCAUAACAGUCUUUGAAAUUUGGGUGAUAUUAGAGAGGAAAGGAAAUGCUGGCAAGGGAAGGGGAUUGGACUGGACUCAGGGGCUCCCCACAGUUCAAGGUGCUUCUCUCACACGUGUCCUUAUAUUGCCAGGGGCAGCUGGUUUCUUACCAUCUUUUCGUUCUUUAGCAGUGUUGAAGUUCCAUUUUCUCACUAUUUUUGACUACUCGACUCUUUUCCUGUCCUGUUUCUUUCUUGUUGUUUCAGGGCUCUCUCUCUUGCUUUGUCUCUCUUACUUUCUCCUUUUCCCUCCCCGGGUCUGGAAAGGUCGCUGUUUAUUUUUCUAAUUUCAGUGAAAGGAAACCAAAAGACUCAC
rnacentral:lncRNA from 1 species